rnacentral:lncRNA from 1 species
GGUGGGUUUAGAAUGAAAUCCAAUCUCUAGAACUACACAAUACACCAACCACCCCAUUUCAGAACGAACUUCGUACGAACCAGAAUUGUCCGAUUUCAAGGACCAAUCGAUAUCGGAUAGAGUCCAAAACUUGGGGAACAUCGUAAUAUUGUGGGAGGAGUCAUUUGGUGGGUUUUGAGUGAAAUCCAAUCUCUAGAACUAUACAAUACACCAACCACUCCAUUUCAGAACGAACUUCGUACGAACCUGAAUUGUCAAAUUUCGUGGACCGAUCGAUAUCGGAUUGGGUCCAAAACUUGGGGAACAUCAUAAUAUUGUGGGACGACUCAUUUGGUGGGUUUUUAGUGAAAUACAAUCCCUAGAACAAUACCAUACACCAACC